rnacentral:rRNA from 1 species
CGUGAGAUGUUGGGUUAAGUCCCGCAACGAGCGCAACCCUUAUCCUAUGUUGCCAGCACGUAAUGGUGGGGACUCGUAGGAGACUGCCGGGGUCAACUCGGAGGAAGGUGGGGACGACGUCAAGUCAUCAUGCCCCUUAUGUCUAGGGCUGCAAACAUGCUACAAUGGCCGGUACAGAGGGCUGCGAAACCGCGAGGUCGAGCGAAUCCCAAAAAGCCGGUCUCAGUUCGGAUUGAAGUCUGCAACUCGACUUCA